GUCUAUGGCCAUGCCACCUGAACAAGCCCGAUCCCAUCUGAUCUCGGAAGCUAAGCAGGGUCGGGCCUAGUUAGUAUUGGAUGGGAAACCAUCUAGGAAGACCAGGUGCUGUAGGCA
rnacentral:rRNA from 1 species